rnacentral:rRNA from 1 species
UCCAGAGGAAGGCUCGUCCGCUCUGGGUUAGUCGGGUCCUAAGCUGAGGCCGACAGGCGUAGGCGAUGGAUAACAGGUUGAUAUUCCUGUACCACCAUUAUUCGUUUUAAGCGAUGGGGGGACGCAGUAGGAUAGGCGAAGCGUGCUGUUGGAGUGCACGUCCAAGCAGUGAGAUUGAGUGUUAGGCAAAUCCGGCACUCUUAAGAUUGAGCUGUGAUGGGGAGAGGAACUUGUUCCUCGAGUCGUUGAUUUCACACUGCCGAGAAAAGCCUCUAGCUAGAAUAACGGUGCCCGUACCGCAAACCGACACAGGUAGUCAAGAUGAGAAUUCUAAGGUGAGCGAGCGAACUCUCGUUAAGGAACUCGGCAAAAUGACCCCGUAACUUCGGGAGAAGGGGUGCUCUUUGAGGUUCACGCUUCGAAGAGCCGCAGUGAAUAGGCCCAAGCGACUGUUUAUCAAAAACACAGGUCUCUGCUAAACCGUAAGGUGACGUAUAGGGGCUGACGCCUGCCCGGUGCUGGAAGGUUAAGAGGAGUGGUUAGCGCAAGCGAAGCUACGAAUCGAAGCCCCAGUAAACGGCGGCCGUAACUAUAACGGUCCUAAGGUAGCGAAAUUCCUUGUCGGGUA